rnacentral:rRNA from 1 species
GUUUGAUCCUGGCUCGAAUCAACGCUGGCGGCGUGCCUAACACAUGCAAGUCGAACGCGAAAGCCCCGCAAGGGGUAAGUAGAGUGGCAAACGGGUGAGUAACACGUGGGUGACCUGCCCUCGAGUGGGGGAUAACGUCCCGAAAGGGACGCUAAUACCGCAUAACAUCCUGCCUUUGAAGAGGUGGAGAUCAAAGCUGGGGACCGCAAGGCCUGGCGUUUGAAGAGGGGCCCGCGCCUGAUUAGCUAGUUGGUGAGGUAAUGGCUCACCAAGGCAACGAUCAGUAUCCGGCCUGAGAGGGCGGACGGACACACUGGGACUGAGACACGGCCCAGACUCCUACGGGAGGCAGCAGUGGGGAAUUGUUCGCAAUGGGCGCAAGCCUGACGACGCAACGCCGCGUGGAGGAUGAAGACCUUCGGGUCGUAAACUCCUUUCGAUCGAGACGAAUGGUCCUUGGGUUAACAGCCCAGGGGUAUGACGGUACCGAGAGAAGAAGCCCCGGCUAACUCCGUGCCAGCAGCCGCGGUAAUACGGGGGGGGCAAGCGUUGUUCGGAAUUACUGGGCGUAAAGGGCUCGUAGGUGGCCAACUAAGUCAGACGUGAAAUCCCUCGGCUUAACCGGGGAACUGCGUCUGAUACUGGAUGGCUUGAGUUCGGGAGAGGGAUGCGGAAUUCCAGGUGUAGCGGUGAAAUGCGUAGAUAUCUGGAGGAACACCGGUGGCGAAGGCGGCAUCCUGGACCGACACUGACACUGAGGAGCGAAAGCCAGGGGAGCAAACGGGAUUAGAUACCCCGGUAGUCCUGGCCCUAAACGAUGAAUGCUUGGUGUGGCGGGUAUCGAUCCCUGCCGUGCCGAAGCUAACGCAUUAAGCAU